AUAUAUUGUUUUGGGCAUUAGUACGACUGCGCAGUUCGACAGUUCUUGCCGGUUUCCGAUAGAUUGAGAAGGAUUUGAGAAAACUUGAACUUGUGCUUAGUUUAGCUAUAAGCUAUUAGGCACAAAUGAGGAUGAAGAAAUUUGGUUUUAGUAUCAAAAAGGAAAAAAAUCCUACCCAAAACCAUGAAUUAAAGUCGCAAUUACCAGGUAUUAAGGAAUAUCUUAUAUUAAACUGUCAUCAUUUAUAAAAAUCAGGUGUUAAUUAUCAACGUUAAUAUAGAAUAAGCAUUUUUUGGAAAGCAUGAACUACACUUGCAGGAAGUAUUUCCCAGAAAAUCCCUUGAUAUAAAACUACCUAUAUAGCUAUAUAUCAUUAUAUGUAUAUGUGAUGUUUUGAGCUCUGUUAAUAAUAGACAGCUUCUAGACUCUGGCGCGAUUCUAUUUAAUAAACGUCAACAUUAUUUAGUACAUAAUGUAUAAUUUCAUUUAUUUUUCAGUUUUACCUAGUGUAAUGGUUCCGACACCUACUCUUGGAAAUUCGGUUUCUACCUCACUAAGGAGUCCUCCUCCAGGUUACGUUUCCGAAGAUGGCGAAAGUGAAAAUAUUUCACAAGCUAAUGGAGAAGAAGAUGAAGAUAAAAUGGAUAUGUCUCCCCCCUCCCCUAAUCCAACUCUUGAUCUUCAGCCAGUUGCCUAUCAAGAACCAGAGCAUUGGUGUACGGUCUCCUAUUACGAAUUAGGAUCCAGAGUUGGAGAACCCUUCCACGCAAGCCAGUCGAAAUUAUCAAUUGAUGGCUUUACUGAUCCGUCAAAUUCUGGAAGGUUCUGCUUGGGAUUACUCUCAAAUGUGAAUAGAAGUCAGCAGGUAGAAAAUACCAGACGUCAUAUAGGAAGAGGAGUAUGCCUGCAGUAUACUAACGGUGAAGUCAUUGCUGAUUGUUUAAGCGAUCAAGCUAUUUUUGUUCAAUCACCGAAUUGUAAUCGAAGAUACGGUUGGCAUCCAGCAACUGUCUGCAAGAUACCGCCAGGCUGCAACUUGAAUAUUUUUAAUAAUGCUGAAUUCGCCGCUCUAUUAGAGACGAGCGUUCAAAGCGGUUUCGAAGCUGUUUACCAAUUGACAAGAAUGUGUACAAUCAGACUGAGUUUUGUGAAAGGCUGGGGUGCAGAGUAUAGACGGCAGACAGUUAUGUCCACACCAUGUUGGGUAGAGAUUCAUUUGAAUGGACCUUUGCAGUGGUUAGAUAGAGUUCUAAUUCAAAUGGGUUCUCCUCACUUGCCUUGUUCAUCCAUGUCAUAGGCAUGGAAACAAGCAUCCAUUUAUUUUUUGCAAGAGCGUUUUUUCUCAGUGUUCAGUUGCCUGUAAAGUCUUUUUGCUUUUGUACUCGAAUUUUUUUCCUUGGAUAUAUUAGUCGUUUAAUCAGACCUUUCGAUUUUUCGAUCUGAUUUAAGAGCAUAACAUAUUCAGGAGAAUAGUAAUUAUAAUAUUUUAAUAAUUACUUUUCAUUUUUACGUAACGCAUUUAACACGCAAAAAAUGUUAACUUAUUUCAUUAUAAAGAGUUUACGGAAGGAAAAACGUACAUGUAUUUUAGCCAGCUGAGUCGCUACAUUUUCUUUUGUACAAUUGCUUUCUGUUGCUUAAGAAGCCUCUUUAGAGGUCUAUAACUUUGAAUGCACUAAAUUUGUUAAUAAUGAAUCUUAUAACAAGUAGCUUGUUUUUAAUAUGUGCGCAAAAUAAAUUUUUUGUAAUUAUAAUAUAGGAUAUUGUAUAAGAGAGAAAAAGUAAUUCUGUGGAGAGUGUAAUCACAAGGUUUACUGCCAGCUUUGCUCUUGUUUCUUUCAUCGCGCUUUCAUGGAGAGCUCAAACUCUGCAAUUGGUUAUUAGACUUGAAAAAGUUUCGUGGAGAAAGAAAAUUACAGAAUGCAUAUGAAUAUAUAAUUGAAGAGUAUGUGUUGCACUGAUUAAAUCGAGUUAAAUUAACUAAUCAACGAUAUAUAUUCAAUUAAAAAUUUGAGCAAAGAAAUCCAGCUGAUAUUAAUCUCAAGAAAACCGUAAAUUCUUUAUCCUAUCAGGCAGAAAGACGAACGCGAGGUAGACCCGGUAGUGUAGUGCCAUUUGAGUUAGCCUAAUUUGGAAUAAAUGAAUACUUGAAAAGUGCCAUAUGGAUGAAUGAGAAGAUAUCAUUUAAACUUUCGAAAUAUGAAAAGCUUUAUUUAUGUAAAUAAAUUUUGAUUUAUUAUUUAUCAAUCUGUCCAUAUGUUAUUAGUUGAAUAAUGUUUUAAGUAUCAAAGUGUUCGUACAGUUUCAUUCUGUCCUUAAUCACAAUUGUAUAUCGUUCAUGCUUAUAGUAAUAGUUAUGAUUUGAGUGUUUGUGUUUUUUGUGUGAGAAAAAGAUAAAAUAUGCUCGAUUAGAGUAACCUCAAUGUCAUAAUACAAAAGGUUUUCUAGUAAAUUACUGCUGUUAGUGCACGUAAAAGAAAUUUAUCUAAUCUAUCGACUUCCGACAAAGAUAUGUAAAAAUUGUUUGUUCCCUGUAAAAGAAACCAUUGAACCUAUAAUUGAAACUGAAAAUGAUCUGUUAACCAUUUCGAUAAAUUGAAUGUAUUAUUUAAUAUCUACCAAGUACAGUAUCUUGCAUCUCUAAAUUUAUCAGCUUAAUCUAUAUUUGCCUAGUUUUUUAUAUGUUUGUCUUAAAAACUGUACUCUCUUAUUUUUUGUCAGUUUUUUUUCUGCAAAGUAAACAUCUUUCAAAAACUGGCUGUGUCCAAUUAAUUACAUUUUCCCCUAUAAAAUUAGAUACUAUUUAGAAAAGAAUAACAAAAAAAACAAAGUUAAAAGCAACCUUAUGAUUUUCAAAACACCAAGAAGUACGCCUUGAAUUACAAUAAAUAGUCUUUCUUUUGUACUAAUAAACAUACAAGUUAUUAUUCGAUUACUUAUGGAAAGAGGAUUAACAAAAAAAGGAUCAUUAAUAAACAUUAAAGCGUUUUACAAGAGAGAUUAGUAUCAUCUUUUUCUUUCAUAAAUCCUGUAGGAGAAAUUUAAUUAUAGUAAUCAUUGCCUUGCACUGACUACACAUUUCAAGGUGUAUAAUAUAUAAUAAGCAUCGAAAAGUAGAAAUGAUUUACAAGACUUUUACAGUUUCAAUUUAUAAUUUGAUCUUAAAUCUUACAUUAAUAUUAAGGUAAAAAUAUUCUUGAUUCUUCCAGUACAGGAUAACUGCAGUAUUAACCUCAUUAUUAAUAAAAAAC
rnacentral:misc_RNA from 1 species